rfam:Toxocara canis scaffold17, whole genome shotgun sequence.
GCGGCAAUAGCUCAGUGGUAGAGCCUCCGCUUCGCAUACGGGAGACCUAGGUUUGAUUCCCGGCUGCUUCC